AAUUUUCGACAAUGGGGGCAACCCUGAUCCAGCCAUCCCGCGUGCGCGAUGAAGGCCUUAGGGUUGUUCAGCACUUUUGGUAGGGACGAAAAGGCGCCGGAUAAUACGUGGCGCCGCUGACGGUACCUGCAGAAUAAGCACCCGCUCACUACCUGCCAGCAGCCGCGGUAAUACGUAGGAUGCAAGCGUUAAACGGAAUUACUGGGCGUAAAGCGUGCGCAGGCGGUUCGGAAAGAAAGAUGUGAAAGCCCAGGGCUUAACCUUAAAACUGCAUUUUAAACUGCCGGGCUAGAGUAUGUCAGAGGGGGGUAGAAUUCCACGUGUAGCAGUGAAAUGCGUAGAGAUGUGGAGGAAUACCGAUGGCGAAGGCAGCCCCCUGGGAUAAUACUGACGCUCAUGCACGAAAGCGUGGGGAGCAAACA
rnacentral:rRNA from 1 species